CCCUUAGAUGUUCUGGGCCGCACGCGCGCUACACUGAUGCAUUCAACGAGUCUAAAACCUGGUCUGAUAGGGCUGGGUAAUCUUUUGAAAGUGCAUCGCGAUUGGGAUAGAUGAUUGCAAUUCUUCAUCUUCAACGAGGAAUGCCUAGUAAACGCAAGUCAUCAGCUUGCAUUGAUUACGUCCCUGCCCUUUGUACACACCGCCCGUCGCUCCUACCGAUUGAAUGAUCCGAUGAAUACCAUGGAUUGAGAGUACGAAUGGGUUCGCUCAUUUCUGCUGCUCGAGAAGUGGAGUAAAUCUUAUCAUUUAGAGGAAGGAGAAGUCGUAACA
rnacentral:rRNA from 1 species